CCUACGGGUGGCAGCAGUGAGGAAUAUUGGUCAAUGGACGAGAGUCUGAACCAGCCAAGUAGCGUGAAGGAUGACUGCCCUCUGGGUUGUAACCUUCUUUUAUAUGGGAAUAAAUUGCUCUACGUGUGGGCUUUUGUAUGUACCAUAUGAAUAAGGAUCGGCUAAUUCCGUGCCAGCAGCCGCGGUAAUACGGAGGAUCCGAGCGUUAUCCGGAUUUAUUGGGUUUAAAGGGAGCGUAGGUGGAUUGUUAAGUCAGUUGUGAAAGUUUGCGGCUCAACCGUAAAAUUGCAGUUGAAACUGGCAGUCUUGAGUACAGUAGAGGUAGGCGGAAUUCGUGGUGUAGCGGUAAAAUGCUUAGAUAUCACGAAGAACUCCGAUUGCGAAGGCAGCUCACUAGACUGCAACUGACACUGAGGCUCGAAAGUGUGGGUAGCAAACAGGAUUAGAUACCCCAGUAGUC
rnacentral:rRNA from 1 species